UGGGUAACCUGCCCCCGGCUCUGGGAUAACUCCAAGAAAUUGGGGCUAAUACCGGAUGUGACCGCUGACCGCAUGGUCUGGUGGUGGAAAGGGUUUCCGGCUGGGGAUGGGCCCGCGGCCUAUCAGCUUGUUGGUGGGGUAGUGGCCUACCAAGGCGACGACGGGUAGCUGGCCUGAGAGGGUGACCGGCCACACUGGGACUGAGACACGGCCCAGACUCCGUACGGGAG
rnacentral:rRNA from 1 species